rfam:Natranaerobius trueperi strain DSM 18760 ZB100035, whole genome shotgun sequence.
GGAAAGAAGUAGAAGCUACUCGCUUCUCACCUUACAACGUAUAGUUCGUAAGGUUGCCGUGAUAAAAUUCUAUGACUGUGUCUAUUUUUAGACUAUGGUUAAUAGUGUAUAAAUUCGGCUAAAAAGAGCGAGUAUUGAUACUCGCUCUUUUAUUAUGUU